GAAUCAUUUCUAUUCCAACAAUGGGGAAUCUGCAGCAUAGAUGCUUAAAUAAACAAGAGUUGCACAAGAUUGCUGUGCUGCAAUGUGCUAUGAUUUACUUUUCUCUAACAAACAAGAGAAGAAUUACAGGACUUUGAGAGCUGAGAUGGAGGAAGAAACCAGGAAAAAAUGGAAAUGCUUAUACUUCUUCAUUUUGACAUGGUUCCUUCAGAAAUCUGAUACUAAGUAUCUUUCUGCAUCUGGAGGAGGGAAGAAAGAGACCAUCCAGGCAUUCUGUACAUAAUGUUGAAAUAAAACCCUCUAUUGUCCACCAAGACAAUAGGGCUAGUCUAUAAUAAUGUAGUACAAGUAGGGCAUAAAUGACAUAAGCCAGCAAUGCAAUCUUUGUUCUGGUGUAAUCUUCCAUAUCAACCAUCUACACUCCCAGAGCUAGGAGAAUGGCCUUUCUCCCAUUUCCCAUAACUCGCUACCACUUCCCUCCCCUUGCUCUAUAGAAAGUAGUGUAACAGGGCUCCCCUUUGGGAUGACUAACCAUGUUUGACAACAUAGGAGCUAACCUAAAUCUUGGUCAAAAUCUCACACCAAGCCAAAACUGCGCACAUAAACAAAAUUAGUCAGCUUUGUUUGUUUAAAGUUUGCAGAAAGUGUUCACUUUGGUGGGAAGAGAUGUGGGAAUAUUAAAAGCUAUAGGAUCUUCACUGCAAAAGCACCACUUAGAAAGAGCAUUUCAGCUUCUGUGGAGAAAGAGAACAUGUUUAUAUGGGAACAAAGAUAAGGAAAUAAUGCAUUAUGAAAACAAAGGAAAACAUAGAAGUACUGGGAGAAAGCCAGAAGCCCUGGUGAAGUUACUGCAGCAGCAGGAGCUUCACCACUGCCUGGUACCUGAGUGAGGCCAGGGAAGUCAUUGACCUUGUGGGAAG
ensembl:lncRNA